CUGCUCAAGCAGCGCAUGUGCUAAAACUGAAACCAGACAGAGAGGGUCGCACGGCCCUGCGCAAGGACGGCACGCAGCCGUGAUGUGCUUCAUACUUUC
ensembl:snRNA U6 U6 spliceosomal RNA